rnacentral:rRNA from 1 species
UACGAAGGGUGCAAGCGUUACUCGGAAUUACUGGGCGUAAAGCGUGCGUAGGCGGUUUGUUAAGUCCGCUGUGAAAGCCCUGGGCUCAACCUGGGAAUUGCAGUGGAUACUGGCAAGCUAGAGUGCGGUAGAGGAUGGUGGAAUUCCCGGUGUAGCGGUGAAAUGCGUAGAGAUCGGGAGGAACACCCGUGGCGAAGGCGGCUAACUGGUCCAGAUCUGACGCUGAGGUGCGAAAGCGUGGGGAGCAAACAGG